CUGGGGUUGGCCCGAGUGGUUAAGGGCGUUGGACUUAAGUUCCAAUGGACAAGUGUCCGCGUGGGGUUCGAACCCCACACCCAGU
rnacentral:tRNA from 1 species